AAAAUAAAAUGGGCGACCCUGUAAGAUAUUUCCAUCGGUCUGAAGGCUUUUGUAGAUAGUGACCCUCAAAGGGCAGAGGGUCCACAGGACCAGAGAGGGCUGGUCCUCUCUGACAUCCUCUGUGUUAGCGGGGCUGCUCUCGGAACUAGCUCACACACACACCAAGAUUUACCCCAGGGGUCACCUCUUCCCGCACGUCUGGUCUACUGCGCCCCCCAAGUCCCAAGGGCAGAGGAGGGGUGCCUUCCUCCUCUAGCCCGACUGCCUCGUCCUGUCUCCAGCCUAACUCUUCACCUUUUCACUGGCAUCCUCUCCAAUCCACAGAUUUCCAAAGCAAAGUAGCUGUCUUCUUCCACAAGUACCGAGAUACAGAAAUUAGGUUUACUCAAAUAAGAGCUGCAAAAAUGUCGCUACCCAUGUUUUGUAAUCUUCCGAUCAUUCCUCUGCCCUUGGGCCAGGGCCAGUCUACGAGCCCCGCAAGGCAAAACUGUGGGUCCUCUGAUACCUGCUCCCAUGCCUGGCACACGGCAGGUGCCUAAUAACCAUUUGAUGGAUGAAGGCAUGAAGGAACGGACUUCAUUGCGUGCUGACCACCAGGGUAACACAGCAGUAGGUCUUGACAACUACCUUUACUCCACCCGCUUCGCAAAUUGGGUAGAACAAGGUCAUUCUGGAAGAUGAGCAUUCUGGUAAAGAAUGCGUGCUUUGGAAAAAUGCCUCCAACAGCUAACUCGUCCAACAGGUGCUGCCUAUUCUGACAACAAAGUGUUUAAAUUAGCAAAUAACAUAUCCCCUUUGGUCCCAACGGAGUUCAUUGCUCUUUCUCCGACCCAGGUUCUUCUGGCUUCUGAAAAAACCAGACUGGGGGAUGAAGGAGGGUGUGUGAAGCCCAAGAAGGGAACAGCCGUAAAGCUGGGGAGAGCCGAGGUCUCGGUGGCAGCCGACGGAGACUUGUCCUGACAACAAACGGCAGCCUCUACUCCUGACUUGAUUAUUCAUGGUGACCUGAGAAUUUUUGUCUUUUUCCUGAAGAGUAGAUCUCAACUGUGAUGGAACAUGGGGGAAAACUUAGGCCUAGAGCCAAAAGUCACACUUAAGAUAAUUCUGAGCUGACAACUCCUGAGCCAAUGGCAAUAACCUCUGAAUGUCUGCCUAUAACAUUCUGGGGUUCUCAAACGCCCUGCGAGUGAAAAUGAAAGGAAAGAUGAGGCACCUCGUGAUUGAUAGGCACUUCUAAGGCCCAGUGUCUCUCCACAUAGUUCAUCUUUUUGAUCUGACCUUUCUUCCCAUUUCUUUAUUUUUAAGUCACCAAGGCAUUUCUCUGAAAAAUCAUCUGUUGCAAAGGGCCCCAAAGCAAGUGUGAAGGAGAGAAUAAAAUCAUUUAUCAAAACUGUGUGAAUUUGCAAUUCAUAAUAGGCAAGAGGCAAUUGAAGAAGAUAGUUUUCUGCCAUUGGCCCUGCUGUCAAGGUAAACGUGAGGAAGGUAAUUAUAGCAAAGUCGCCAAAAGCGUUCUUUUACGGAUCACGAGAUAAGGUUCAGUGUGAUUUCUGGUUAAGGGAUCAAUACCAAGGGGUUUUCUUCAUCAAUGUCGAGUAUUAUAAAUUCAGACGAGGGAUGCACAUCUGUUUCUCAGCUGUUGUGUUUCAUUGGGAAAACACUGUAGCAACCCCCAAAUGCUUCAACCACAACCCUCAGCGCUUUUCUCCACUUUCCAAACCAUGGUUCCUUCGCCCCCGGCCCCGGCAGAGAAGGCUGGCAUUAUACUCUACGAAGCCAAACACGAAAGCAUUAGGCCCUGGAGUAUAUUUUUCCAAUGAAGACACUGGCUUUCUUAUUGGAAAGUAAUGUUCUUCAAAGAGCCCCUAAGCCUGAGCACUCUGCAAGCGUGGUCAUCCAGAGUCACGUGGCGCAGCACCAAAUGAGAUUCCUCUGGCAACCAAACCUCAGGAGUGAUCCCACCCUCAAAGUCAGUUUAAUAAUAAUCCCGCAGUCUGCGGAGCAAUGGAUGCUUCCUGAGACCAAUGAGCUUCAAGCCACGGGGUGGGGAGGGCAUGCAUGAACACACAUCUGUCUGCUGGGGAACCCUUGGCAUCCGCUUAGCCUGCAGUGAGGGUCCAAAAACAUCAUAAAUGGGGCAGAAGAAAACACACAUCCUGCAUUUCUUUAGUAAUUGGAGCAAUUAAAUAACUUCAUUCUUGGAUGCUGAUAGCAUUCCUCAUUAAGUUUGACGAUGUUUAUGAACAUUUUGUGCCAACUCUACCUUUUAAAAGAAAAAAAGAUAAACGAUAAGACUUUGGUUAUCAAACUUGGUUGGGAGGUAAGAAUUGUGCCAUGGACUGGGAUUGUAUCUGCCCUCGGGAAGAGGCCAGGUGACCUUGGGAAAGUUACACCACGUCUCUUGGCUCAGCCGGCUUUUCAGGAAAUUGGGGGUCAGGGGGUGGGCUAAGGUGACCACCAGGUCAUUUCCAGCUCUGACAUUUAGUGAGAUGGUUGCCAGAGCCAAGACUGGCCGUUGCUAGCUGCAGAAAGAUAAAGAGCUGACUGCUCUUUCCAAACAACAUGCUAAGCUUUCUAGUCAAGUGUAUUCACAGACUUUGUUGCUAUAGUUUAGGUAGGAGAAAGAGAAAAAAGAAAAAAAAUCACAUAUCAGUUAGCUAUUGCUGUAUAACAAAUCACACCAAAACUCAAUGGCUUCAAACAAUAAGUAUUCACUGUUUGUCAUGAGUUGACGGAUGCGCUGAAAGUUGGCUGAUCUGGCUCUGGCUCAGGUCACCUUAGCAGGGCAUGUUCAUCUGUUUGUGUUCAUCCAGGGAGUUGGCUGAGGGCUGCUGGUGUAGGAGAGCCUGACUGACCUGUGUGGCAUUUGGCUGACUGUAGCUGGGAGAUGAAGAUAAUUGAGCCACGGGCCAGAUCAGGCUUAUUCUGUGUUGAGAUAUAGGCCCAGAACUGGCCUACUAUCACUUCUGCCAUGGUCCACUGGCCAGAGGAAGUCACGAGGCCAGCCCACAUUCCAGAAGUCAGAGGAUAAGACUUGCCUCUUAAUGAGAGAAAUGACAAGGUCAUACGGCAAAGGCUGUGGAUGCAGGGAAGGGGGAAGAAUCAUGGUCACUUUUGAAUUCGAUCCCUCUUUGUCACAAACAAUAAUUUGAGGGCUUUGGGAAUAUAGUGGUAAUGGAGAUCCAAUCAUUACCUUCAAGAAAAUCACAGUACAGAGGUGGGAAAGAGCCAGACACAGCUAAUGAGAAUGCAGCAUAAUAAACAGCGUAGCCCUGGAGAAAGUCUGGGGCCUGGCUGCGGGGCAACUCCUGCUUAAGGGACUCAGGGAGAGCUGCUCGGAGGUGAUGCCCUUUGAGCCUGAAUCACUCAGGGCUGGAUCCCAGGGCCAGACUUGGUUCCUGGCUUACAGUAAGUACUCAGUAAAUAGUUGGUGAAUAAAUAAAUGAAGAAUGAGGCGUUGGCACAAGAGGACUGAAAAGAAAAUCAUUCCAAGGGGAGGAACCAGCAUGAGGGAAGAAAUUAUACAUUUAAGAAGACCAGAAUGAGUGACAAAUAGCAAUGUGAAGUCGGCUUGCUAAAUGCGUCCUUAAAGAAAGACAAGUGCCAAACUCCUGUGAAACCAGACAGACCUUGCAACGGGAUAGCAGCAUCAGCAUCUCCUUUCUCCUCCUUCCUCCUCGCCUCCACAUGCUUGGAGUCUCUCAAGCCACAUGUCCUUAGCCUGUCUGCCUGGAGGUCUGGAGGUCUGAGCUCCAGCAGCGCAGGCUUUGCUGUCAAGGACUCGUGGAAAACAAUCCAAAGAUCCAGUCUUCAGUGUGGGCACUGGGCUUCAUUUCCAUGUUGUUGUUUUUCUGGUCUUUGAAGGCAAAUUCUUUACUGAUGCAGUAAGACUGGAACUUGGUCAACAGAACAAAUGUUAUUUUAAACACCAUAAUGAUAAUAAUUUAAUCAAAUGUGAUUUACUUUUAAUAACUUUAUUGGCCCUUUCAUUUUGAAAAGUGGCCACGUGAAUGGCUUGCUUAUGCAUUUUUAACGAGAGAGGGGAAAAAAACGCUGCUGCUUGUAGGAGCAGAAGACUAAUGAGGCUUAUUCCCACACUGUUUCCUGGAACUGAGUCAGCCAACCCUGCCGUUGCAAGUGAUUGGCCUGAAACUCCAAUCUUGAUCAAGCCAAGGGCAGCCUUGGACCUGGUCCUUUCUCUGGACCUUGAGGGUGUCCACCAGCCAGAUCCAUACUAAUACGCGCCCUGUGCCUAACUGCUUACAAAGCACUUCCACAAACAUGUGCUCCUUUAAGCCGCACGACUCCCCUUUCACGGAAGAGACACUCGGAGUAAACUGGACUUAACCAAGGUCACGCCGCGGGUAAUAGUGGAGCUGGACUUGAACUCCUCAAGCUCCCACCUCGGCACCAUGGUGGGUGACGGGUUAAUACAAUGAGCUGAGGGGGUCCGUGCUGUAAUUGUGAAAAGAGCUGAUUUCUGCUUAUCCCUCAACCGUGCCCUCUCACACGAGAGCCUGAAAAAGAAAAACACGAAUAAAUAAGUCAACAUUCAAUCUACAAACUGCUGGGUGAACACACUUUGCCAGGAUGCCGAGUUGGAAUGACUCACAUUAGAAAGUUUCAUCCCCUCACACCUAAAGGCCUCUCUAAUUUAAGGGGCUUGGAACAAGGGGAAUAUUGUUCCUGAACAAUCUGUGAAUAUAGGACGGGGCCAUCGUGAAAGCAUUUGCGGGUUGUUAAUUUUCGUUCUGCUGGGAUCCGAAGCUUAUGGAACUCAUUGUCCAGAUUUUAAACUUACACUUAUUUCUAAAACUCGCUUUUCCAAAAAUAAACUUUUUAAAC